rnacentral:rRNA from 1 species
ACGAACGCUGGCGGCGCGCCUAACACAUGCAAGUCGAACGAGAGAGAAGGAGCUUGCUUCUUCGAUCGAGUGGCGAACGGGUGAGUAACGCGUGAGGAACCUGCCUCAAAGAGGGGGACAACAGUUGGAAACGACUGCUAAUACCGCAUAAGCCCACGGGUCGGCAUCGACCUGAGGGAAAAGGAGCAAUCCGCUUUGAGAUGGCCUCGCGUCCGAUUAGCUAGUUGGUGAGGUAACGGCCCACCAAGGCAACGAUCGGUAGCCGGACUGAGAGGUUGAACGGCCACAUUGGGACUGAGACACGGCCCAGACUCCUACGGGAGGCAGCAGUGGGGAAUAUUGCACAAUGGGGGAAACCCUGAUGCAGCGACGCCGCGUGGAGGAAGAAGGUCUUCGGAUUGUAAACUCCUGUUGUUGAGGAAGAUAAUGACGGUACUCAACAAGGAAGUGACGGCUAACUACGUGCCAGCAGCCGCGGUAAAACGUAGGUCACAAGCGUUGUCCGGAAUUACUGGGUGUAAAGGGAGCGCAGGCGGGAAGACAAGUUGGAAGUGAAAUCUAUGGGCUCAACCCAUAAACUGCUUUCAAAACUGUUUUUCUUGAGUAGUGCAGAGGUAGGCGGAAUUCCCGGUGUAGCGGUGGAAUGCGUAGAUAUCGGGAGGAACACCAGUGGCGAAGGCGGCCUACUGGGCACCAACUGACGCUGAGGCUCGAAAGUGUGGGUAGCAAACAGGAUUAGAUACCCUGGUAGUCCACACCGUAAACGAUGAUUACUAGGUGUUGGAGGAUUGACCCCUUCAGUGCCGCAGUUAACACAAUAAGUAAUCCACCUGGGGAGUACGACCGCAAGGUUGAAACUCAAAGGAAUUGACGGGGGCCCGCACAAGCAGUGGAGUAUGUGGUUUAAUUCGACGCAACGCGAAGAACCUUACCAAGUCUUGACAUCCUGCGACGGACAUAGAAAUAUGUCUUUCCUUCGGGACGCAGAGACAGGUGGUGCAUGGUUGUCGUCAGCUCGUGUCGUGAGAUGUUGGGUUAAGUCCCGCAACGAGCGCAACCCUUAAGCUUAGUUGCCAUCAUUAAGUUGGGCACUCUAAGUUGACUGCCGGUGACAAACCGGAGGAAGGUGGGGAUGACGUCAAAUCAUCAUGCCCUUUAUGUCCUGGGCUACACACGUACUACAAUGGCGUUAAACAAAGAGAAGCAAGACCGCGAGGUGGAGCAAAACUCAGAAACAACGUCCCAGUUCGGACUGCAGGCUGCAACUCGCCUGCACGAAGUCGGAAUUGCUAGUAAUCGUGGAUCAGCAUGCCACGGUGAAUACGUUCCCGGGCCUUGUACACACCGCCCGUCACACCAUGAGAGCUGGUAACACCCGAAGUCCGUGAGGUAACCUUUAUUGGGGCCAGCGGCCGAAGGUGGGAUUAGUGAUUGGGGUG